GGAAUCUUAGACAAUGGGCGCAAGCCUGAUCUAGCCAUGCCGCGUGAGCGAUGAAGGCCUUAGGGUUGUAAAGCUCUUUCACCGGGGAAGAUAAUGACGGUACCCGGAGAAGAAGCCCCGGCUACCUCCGUGCCAGCAGCCGCGGUAAUACGGAGGGGGCUAGCGUUGUUCGGAAUUACUGGGCGUAAAGCGCGCGUAGGCGGUUUGUUAAGUCGGAUGUGAAAGCCCCGGGCUCAACCUGGGAAUUGCACACGAUACUGGCCGACUAGAGUACGAGAGAGGGAGGUAGAAUUCCACGUGUAGCGGUGAAAUGCGUAGAUAUGUGGAGGAAUACCGGUGGCGAAGGCGGCCUCCUGGCUCGAUACUGACGCUGAGGUGCGAAAGCGUGGGGAGCA
rnacentral:rRNA from 1 species